rnacentral:rRNA from 1 species
CCACCACCAAAGCAUUCUCUGGUGUUGAAGGCCCUGCAAAGCAGCAUCGCGGUGGCGGAGCGUCGUUUGCGACGCCCAACGCACAAAACAAGCGGUGAGUGCUUUGGGGUGGGGUGACUGCGUACCUUUUGUAUAAUGGGUCAGCGACUUAUAUUCUGUAGCAAGGUUAACCGCAUAGGGGAGCCGUAGGGAAACCGAGUCUUAACCGGGCGUUAAGUUGCAGGGUAUAGACCCGAAACCCGGUGAUCUAGCCAUGGGCAGGUUGAAGGUUGGGUAACACUAACUGGAGGACCGAACCGACUAAUGUUGAAAAAUUAGCGGAUGACCUGUGGCUGGGGGUGAAAGGCCAAUCAAACCGGGAGAUAGCUGGUUCUCCCCGAAAGCUAUUUAGGUAGCGCCUCGUGAAUUCAUCUCCGGGGGUAGAGCACUGUUUCGGCUAGGGGGCCAUCCCGGCUUACCAACCCGAUGCAAACUGCGAAUACCGGAGAAUGUUAUCACGGGAGACACACGGCGGGUGCUAACGUCCGUCGUGAAGAGGGAAACAACCCAGACCGCCAGCUAAGGUCCCAAAGUCAUGGUUAAGUGGGAAACGAUGUGGGAAGGCCCAGACAGCCAGGAUGUUGGCUUAGAAGCAGCCAUCAUUUAAAGAAAGCGUAAUAGCUCACUGGUCGAGUCGGCCUGCGCGGAAGAUGUAACGGGGCUAAACCAUGCACCGAAGCUGCGGCAGCGACGUUUAUGCGUUGUUGGGUAGGGGAGCGUUCUGUAAGCCUGCGAAGGUGGCCUGUGAGGGUUGCUGGAGGUAUCAGAAGUGCGAAUGCUGACAUAAGUAACGAUAAAGCGGGUGAAAAGCCCGCUCGCCGGAAGACCAAGGGUUCCUGUCCAACGUUAAUCGGGGCAGGGUGAGUCGACCCCUAAGGCGAGGCCGAAAGGCGUAGUCGAUGGGAAACGGGUUAAUAUUCCCGUACUUGGUGUUACUGCGAAGGGGGGACGGAGAAGGCUAUGUUGGCCGGGCGACGGUUGUCCCGGUUUAAGCGUGUAGGUGUGUGUUCCAGGUAAAUCCGGUUCACUUUAACAC